rnacentral:rRNA from 1 species
AACGAACGCUGGCGGCAUGCCUAACACAUGCAAGUCGAACGAGACCUUCAGGUCUAGUGGCGCACGGGUGCGUAACGCGUGGGAACCUGCCCUUAGGUUCGGAAUAACUCCCCGAAAGGGGUGCUAAUACCGGAUAAUGUCUUCGGACCAAAGAUUUAUCGCCUUUGGAUGGGCCCGCGUUGGAUUAGCUAGUUGGUAGGGUAAAAGCCUACCAAGGCGACGAUCCAUAGCUGGUCUGAGAGGAUGAUCAGCCACACUGGGACUGAGACACGGCCCAGACUCCUACGGGAGGUAGCAGUGGGGAAUAUUGGACAAUGGGCGAAAGCCUGAUCCAGCAAUGCCGCGUGAGUGAUGAAGGCCUUAGGGUUGUAAAGCUCUUUUACCCGGGAUGAUAAUGACAGUACCGGGAGAAUAAGCUCCGGCUAACUCCGUG